GAAUGUUGGGCGGAGAUUUUUUUUGUGUGAGGGACACGUGUGGGUCGAGGUCUUUUUGGUGGGGGCUGGGAGAAGACAGCAAGGAAGAUGGCUGAGGAUGCUGUCCCUGUUGCACAAGGUGCUUCGUGCAGAUGAAAGGCUCUGAGGAGGAAGGGCCAAUACUCCAGUGGGGGACCCCGUUUGUUCAAGAUGGAUUUUGAGGAACCUUCGGAAGGUUGUUGUGCUUUCACGCAGACUGAGGGUCCAGAGCGUGAGUUACAGACAAGUUCAAGAUUUGAGCUCCACCGUGGACAUACUGCAUGACUGUUCAAAGCAAUAAAAGUACCAGUUCCGAGAGAGUUGAACAGAACUAAGAACAGUCUCUUCAGCUAUCUCGUCCACGCUGAGUUUCUUUCUCAUCUACACUAGACCAGAUCCCGAGGACCUUGCACACUUCUGAUCACAUCUUUACAGAAGGACACCAUCACACUGAAGAAGGUGCGGACAUUUAUGAGGAUGUUGCCAGGGCUGGAAAAUUACAGCAAUGGAUAACCACGAAGCAAAGGAAGAACAUGAAAGUCGUUCAGAGAGAAACAUCAAACCCACAAAAAUGAACAGCAUACUGAUCAUACUGAUCAGUAUGAUCAUACUGAUCAUCAACCUUCCCCCCAUACGAAAUGGAACAGGAACAGGCCUAAAGUAAACCCUCCCCCUCACACAAAGUACUAACAGAACACAACAGAAUACCAACCCCCACACACCCUUCCCUUGUACAACAAAAUGGAAGAGGAACGAGUGAUAAAAAAUACACAGAAUAUAAAAACCGUAAGUUUGAAAAAGUCCACAGUCCAUAAAUGCAAUAUUCUAACCCAUAAACGCAGAACCACAAUACCAUCCUAUGAUAUCACUGACAUUCAUCAGAACCGAAGGACACACAAUCACAGAGAGGCCUAUCCAUCUGCCACAGCGAGCCACACAGAUUCCUUGUCUGGUGGCGAUCAAAAGGAAAGCAGUCGGCGCUGAAAUCUCACUCACCUUCUGCAUUCGCCUCAAUGUCUCAAUCUUCCACAAAACUUCAAUCGGCGGUUUAUGGACGCUUAAAUCGGUGAAAUGGAGUCGAGCAGCAGCUUCAUCCCGUCUCUAAGUUUCUUCAAAUCGAGUCCCUCCGAGUAUGCGCUCGCUCCCUGGGAUCUUCUCAGAGACAGCAAAGCGCUGGAUCAACCGAUCGAUCUCCAAGUGGUAAAUCGCAGGCUCUAACAGUCCCGGAAACACAUUGAAGGUGAAAAAUAGAUGUAAAAGAAGCAAAAAAGGACAUAAACACGAGGAAUUCUGCGGAUGCUGGAAAUUCAAGCAACACACAUAAAAGUUGCUGGUGAACGCAGCAGGCCAGGCAGCAUCUCUAGGAAGAGAUGCUGCCUGGCCCAUCGGGUUCCUCCAGCAUUGUGUGUGUGUGUGUGUUGACCCUGCAGCAGAUCCCUCUCAGGAGGACCUAUUAAGGAAGGGGCAGCCAUCUGAGAGGAAGACUAUAAGCACAAGAGAUUCUACAGAUGACCUUUGCUGUUGGACCCCGGACAUAUUCCACCGAGAUACAACACUGGGCGUCACGGGAGGUUGUUCCUGCCUGUGGCCGUCGAACUUUGCAGCUCCUCCCGUGGAGGGUCAGACACCCUGAGCCAAUAGGCUGGUCCUGGACUUAUUUCCAUCUAGCAUAGUUUGCAUUUUGUUGUUUGAUUGUGUUCUUGUAUUGCUAUAUUUAUGCUCUAUUCUUGGUUGGUGCGGCUGUAACGAAACCCAAUUUCCCUCGGGAUCAAUAAAGUAUAUCUAUCUAUCUAUCUAUGAUGGAAAUGCAGGGAAACACGUACAAGUUGCUGAAGGAAUUCAGCAGGUCAGGCAGUGAUUCCCAACCUGGAGUCCACGGACCCUCAAUUAAUGGUAGAGGUCCAUGGCAUAACAAAGUUGGGAACCCCUGAUCUAUGGAGAGGAAUAAACAGUCAAUGUUUCAGGCCAAGACCUUUCAUCAGGACUGGGAAGGAAGGGGGAAGGAGCCAAAAUAAGAAGAUGGGAGAGGGGAAUGAGUACAAGAUGACAGGUGAUUGGUGAAGGAUCCAUGGAAAGGAGUAUAGUUGACAUUGACUAUACCUUUUCCAUUGAUGCUGCCUGGCUUGCUGAGUUCCUCCAGCAUUUAGUGUGCGUUGCCUGGAUUUCCAGCAUCUGCAGAUUUUCUCUUGUUAGUGACA